UUGGUAUUAUCUAAACCGAAUUGUAAAGUGGACCAUGAAAAACCCUGCACUUGAGAAUUCUUAACAUAGUGAAUCAGAUUCGACAGUAUAAAGAUGGAACCUUUGGAGCUAACUUCUCGAAUCUUUUCUCUUGUCAAUAGCUCGAAACCAGGUUAGUCUUCUUCUUCUUCUUAAUACGCCUUUCAUUGUUUAAGCUAUUGUCACUGACUGACUUAUGUUUUGCUUGAGAGCUCCUCCUCUGUUUUGGUCUGUCUAGCAUUCUCCUUCUUGUCACUUAUUUGCAUACCUAUCUCUAUGUAUGUUAAUUUCUCUAAAAGUUUUUGUCUUUCAUGCUUGGAUCAUGGUAAUAUUGUGCGCCUAUAUUGCUUCUGAAACAGAGCUCAGUUUCUGAAACAGAAACUUCAUGUUCAUGUAUACAUAAGUAGGCUGCAAAAUUUUGUCUUUGGGGUAUAAUGGUCAUGACAAUUAGUCUCAAGUCCAUUUCUUGAAUGCUAUAGAUUAUAUCACACCAACACUAAUGAAAAUAAGAGUGACUAAAGCAGCUGUGCUUGACUUGUAGUUCUGAAGAUUUGAAGUUAAAGUUAGUGUAAUUGGAGAAGGAACUAUUUUCUAAUGUUUUUUUGAAAAAAAUUUCUCUUUGAAAGUGAGAAUAAACUGUCCAUGGAUAAUUGUGGGAGUACUGGGAGGUGGACAGUUGGGUCGUAUGAUUUGCCAAGCUGCUUCCCAAAUGGCUAUAAAGGUUACGAUUUUAGAUCCUUCAGAGAAUUGCUCAGCAAGUUCAUUGUCCUACGGUCACAUGGUUCAUAGCUUGACGACAGUGCUACUGUAGAACUGAGAAGAGGUAAGCACUUCUCUCUAUCGUUCAGGUAAAGCACUCAUUGCUUCAUGUUUCACUUAAGCUAUUAAUUGCUUGCAGUUUUUCAAACAUUUAUCUUUCUUUGGGGGGUGUUCCUGUGGCGACAGUUGCAAUAAACAACUCCCCACCCAUGCAGCAUUGCUUGCUAUCCGGAUGCUUGGGAUCUCUGUUACUGAUCUUGUCUCAAGGAUGAGUCAGUACAGGGAAGACAUGAGAGAAGAGAACAUGGUUAAAGGAGAGAAACUUGAGCGAGAAGGUUGAGAAUCGUAUCUGAACCAUUGAGCAGAACUCUCAUAGGUUACCAGAUAACCGGUUGAGUGAUUGAUUUUGCUGACAAGAAGUUCUUACCGAGGGAUCUGAGAGCAUUCUUGAGUUGUUGUCACAAGUAGUUUCAGUUUAGCUUCUUGAAGUUAAGGCACAGCUGAAUCUGUCUCCACAGAGAUGUCGAUGUAAACCGAUAUAUCAUUAUCAAGUAUAACCAUAUUGAACCGG